rnacentral:miRNA from 1 species
UAUAAGGUUGGUGCAAAAGUAAUUGCGGUUUUUGCCAUUGAAAGUAAUGGCAAAAACUGCAAUUACUUUUGCACCAAGCUA